AGUCAUCUCUGCUUGGUGCUGACUGAGAUCUUGAUGGCAGAGAAGUNGGGGGGGGGGGGGUGCUGAGACCGAGAGCAAACGAGAGAGGGUGGCCCCAAAGCCAGCAAGCAGUUGUGAGGGGUCCCAUGCUGUGUGUGCGCGUGGGGGGGGUCUGCUGUGGCAAAAAGGAAAGCUCCCCACCCCCCCGGAAAGCCCUGUGCUGGUCACCAGCAGCUUUCCAGGCCAAUUCAAAAAAAAUUGGUAAACGUUGAAUAGCACCGACUGCGAUUUUAAUUCAUUUAUCUAAUCUGUUUUUAAUCAGAUUGGCCAGCACUUUGAACGCUAGCUUUUAGCAGGAGGACAGAAAUGCACAAGCUUUUGAAGACUCAACGGCCCCGGACCUCGCACAAGGACGACAGACAGCUCUCCACCUUCCUUGUUUUGCACUUUCCAACUAAAUGCAAAGGGCCUGAUCCAGACUGAGAUCAACGCUUCCAGAUCUGCAGGUGCCCUGGGCCCGUUCUGUCCGCGAUCAGGAACUGGAGAAGUAUCAACAGAUGGAAGGAUAUUCUUGGAAAGGCAGCAAGGGUCUGGCCAACGGGCGGUUCUCCCUGGAGGGAUAAGCCUGCCACAUGUGCGUGUUGGGUGAGAAGAGUGGGUGCUUUGGCUAACUGUUAUGGCUGGAAGCCCAGGAAACUCCAUGGCGUGGAGUCUCUACCCUGCACCACCGCAGGACUGGAUAGCUUCAAUCCUGGCUUGAUGGGUCAUGAUGUCCUUUCUGGAAUCCGGACUGUCCGGGCGAGAGGGCAGAUUUUUAUAGAGUCGGUCCCACCAUAAAUUAGCCCCUCAAAUAGGGAGUGUGUGGAAGAGGCAGCCCCUCCUUGCUCUAUUUCUUUGGCCUGAAUGGCUCCUGCUCCCCCUCCUCAACAGCUGAGGACUGCCUUAGGAAAGCCUGUUCCAGAUCUUAUUUUUAAAACCAGGCAUAAAGACUUUUUGUGUGUGUGACUGGAACGGCAUCUCCUUGCCUAGGGCCAGGGCUGCCUGCCAGAGUAGGUGGGCUGCCUGCCUGACACGCGAGUAGCCUCCUCUCAGGGUGACCCAAAGAAGGGAGUCCAGUCAGCUGCCUUGGCCAGCUCCUGGCACCUGGCUCAGCCAGUAGGGCAUCAUCCUAAGAGGCUGAGGUCACAGGCGGGUGGCAGGGGGGAAAGCCUUGCUCUUCUACCCCCUAGCCCCCCUCCCAUCAAAGGGACAUGAAGAUGCCCAAUUUGGGCUGAAUCGUGCUUUCCACUGCCCUACUCGGGGCUCUUUUGGACUA
rnacentral:lncRNA from 1 species